UGAACGCUGGCGGCAUGCCUAACACAUGCAAGUCGAACGGUAACGCAAGGAGCUUGCUCCUUGGCGACGAGUGGCGGACGGGUGAGUAAUGCUUAGGAAUCUGCCCAGUAGUGGGGGACAACUCGGGGAAACUCGAGCUAAUACCGCAUACGCCCUAUGGGGGAAAGUGGAGGAUCUUCGGACUUCACGCUAUUGGAUGAGCCUAAGUCGGAUUAGCUUGUUGGUGAGGUAAAGGCUCACCAAGGCGACGAUCCGUAGCUGGUCUGAGAGGACGAUCAGCCACACUGGGACUGAGACACGGCCCAGACUCCUACGGGAGGCAGCAGUGGGGAAUAUUGGACAAUGGGGGCAACCCUGAUCCAGCAAUGCCGCGUGUGUGAAGAAGGCCUGCGGGUUGUAAAGCACUUUCAGUAGAGAAGAAAAGCCUACGGUUAAUACCCGUGGGUCUUGACGUAACCUACAGAAGAAGCUCCGGCUAACUCC
rnacentral:rRNA from 1 species